UGCCGGCUAGGCAGUCGCGGGAGGUCGGGGAGAAAACCGGCCCUCGAGGAAAGUCCGGACACCGCAGGGCAAGGUGGUCGGUAACGCCGACCCGGGGAAACCCGCGGGAAAGUGCCACAGAAACACACCGCCUAAGCGGGAGGUCGCAGCUGAACCUCUCGCCGGCAAGGGUGAAAUGGUGCGGUAAGAGCGCACCGGCGGCGCGGUGACGCGCCGGCCAGGCAAACCCCACCCGGUGCAAGGCCAAGCAGGGACGAUGACGCUGCCCGCCGAGUCCCAGGUAGGCCGCAGGGCCGCGAGGCCCGCCCGGCAACGGGCAGAUGGAUGACUGUCCACGACUGAAUCCGGCUUACCGGCCGGCUAAGGGA
rnacentral:RNase_P_RNA from 1 species